GGGCCACAGGCGAAGGCAGGAGAGGAGGAAGCACCAGCUUUCCUUGGUGGCAGCCAGACCCUCCUUGUCCUCCCCGCUUUAAACGGCGGCAAGGGGCUCCUCGGCGAGGGCUUUGGGGGUGAGCGAGCGCGAGCGCCUGCGCGAGGAUAAGCAGCAGGCGGCGCUGCGCUGCCUUGCCUUCCUUCCUUCCCCUGCGUCAGAGGCGAGCGGGGCGGGGCGCUGCUGUUCCCCCGCCUCUUUCGCCAGGCGCGCCUUGGGCCUAGCGGAGCCCGCGUUGCGCCGCUUCUUCUCCCCUCCGGGUCCGAGGACAGGGAGGCCGGCCACGUGGGCGCGCGCAGCGGGAGCGGGCCUGCAGGACUCCCGACGCUUUACCUUGCAGGGUAAGGAUCCUUUGCUGACUGGGCAACUUGUCCUGCAACAGAGUGAUGCACCAUGCCUAUAGUGGACAAACUGAAGGAAGCCCUAAAGCCUGGGCGAAAGGACUCUGCUGAUGAUGUGGAGCUGGGCAAGCUGUUGGCGGCUUCGGCCAAGAAGAUUUUGCUGCAAAGGAUUGAGUUUGAACCAGCCUCAAAAAGCUUCUCCUACCAGCUAGAGAGUCUGAAAAGCAAGUACAUUCUACUGAACCCGAAGACAGAAAACCCCAGUCGGCACAAGGGCUCUGAAGAGGGAUCCAACCGAAAGCAAGGCAUUGAGCAUGUCCUGGGAGGCGAUGGAGUGCCAGCCCCACAGAAAGUCCUCUUCCCCGUGGAGCGUCUCUCCCUGAAAUGGGAGCGGGUAUAUCGUGUCGGAGCUGGUCUCCACAACCUGGGCAAUACUUGCUUCCUGAACUCCACUUUGCAGUGUCUGACCUACACUCCCCCUCUCGCCAAUUAUCUGCUUUCCAAGGAGCACAGCCGCAGCUGCCACCAGGGAGGCUUUUGCAUGAUGUGUAUUAUGCAGAAUCACAUGAUACAGGCAUUCGCUAACAGUGGCAAUGCCAUCAAGCCAGUGUCCUUCAUCAGGGAUCUUAAAAAGAUUGCUCGUCAUUUCCGUUUUGGCAGUCAGGAGGAUGCUCAUGAGUUCUUGCGCUACACCAUUGAUGCCAUGCAGAAGGCCUGCCUCAAUGGCUAUACCAAGUUGGAUCGCCAGACUCAGGCUACCACAUUGGUUCAUCAGAUCUUUGGUGGCUACCUCCGAUCUCGUGUGAAGUGCUCCAUGUGUAAAAGUGUUUCAGACACCUAUGACCCCUUCCUGGACGUGGCUUUGGAGAUCAGGCAGGCUGCCAACAUUGUCCGGGCACUUGAAUUAUUUGUAAAGGCAGAUGUGCUGAGUGGGGAGAAUGCCUACAUGUGUGCCAAGUGCAAGAAGAAAGUGCCAGCCAGCAAGCGCUUUACUAUCCACCGAGCAUCCAACGUCCUCACAAUCUCUCUCAAACGCUUUGCCAACUUCAGUGGAGGCAAGAUCACCAAGGACGUAGGCUACCCUGAAUUCCUGAACAUCCGUCCUUAUAUGUCACAGAGCAGUGGUGACCCUGUCAUGUAUGGCCUCUAUGCUGUGCUUGUGCAUUCAGGAUAUAGCUGCCAUGCUGGGCAUUACUACUGCUAUGUCAAGGCAAGUAAUGGGCAGUGGUACCAGAUGAAUGACUCCCUAGUACAUUCAAGCAACAUCAAAGUUGUUCUCAACCAACAAGCUUAUGUGCUUUUCUACCUAAGGAUCCCAAGUACAAGGAAGAAUCCUGAAGGGCCUAUCUCCAAAAGCUCUGUUUCCAAUCGAACAAAUAUAGUCUCUGACCAUAUGAAGAAAAGCAUGACCAAUGGUUCCUUAUCUUCACCACAGAUGAACAAAAAACAAGAUGCAGCUCAGGUCAAGAAGGUAUCUUCAGAUACCGAGGAAGCUGGUGUCCCUAUUUCCCGCAGUUCUUUUACUACUCACUCCAAACUUCAGAAUGGGACCUUUUCUUCUCCUUCUCAUUCUCCUCUUCCCAAGUUCAUACCUAGCAUUGGAUUCUCAUCUCCUAAGCUCCCCAGCAAGCCAGCCUUCUUGGAGGACUUAAGCAAGAGAUCCAAGAAGCAGUCCGUGCUGCCCCUCAAAACAUCUCAGGACUUUAAUGAGAAUGGCAGUGCUAGGGUCGAUAUGGGCAAGCAGAACUCUUGGGGAGACAAGAGGUUGUCAUCAUCAUCUUCACAUCUGGCAGGUCCUCCGAGAGGAGAUCCUGAGGCCAAAAUGCGUGAUGGAAGCACAGAGCUACCAAGUAAGGACUCGUCGUCUUUGACCUCUUCUUUGUCGCCAUCACCAUCUUCUUCUAGCAGCUCCUCUUCGUCUAGCCCUGCACAUAACUCCCUCAAGGGACUUCCACAGUCAACAGUAGGCAUCAAUGGCUACUGUUCUUCUCAGGAAACAGACUGUGCCUCUGGGAAACAUGGUUCUGAGGACUCCAAGUUUGCCAAGCUAAAGUCACCGUUGCUGGCUAAUGUGAACAAUCUGGAGCUGGGAAGUACCAUGUCACCUCCACCUGCAAAGAAAUUGGCACUUUCUGCCAGAAAGGGCAGCAACACACUGCAGAAAGUGAGCGGCAGUGAGCAUCGAGCGCCGCCCCACUCCCCACCAGCUGCCACAAAUACCAUCCACCCUGUUUGUGCCGCUGCGCUUGGCUGUCCCAGGGUGCUCUCACCUACUUCCAAAUCUUCAACACCUCUGCAACUAGCUGACAGCACCUCUGUUGACGUCGCACCCUCAUCCAGCUUCAAGCCACGCUGCCUCUCUGCUGCUGCCCCUUUGUCACCACCUGCUGUGCCCACACAGGCCCCGAGCCACUCCCACCCAGACAAGGGACCUUUCCUUGACAGGUCAAGGAAGAUGAAAAGGAAGCAUAGUGCCCCAGGGGAAGAACAAGAUAACCAUUUCAGCUCAAAUGUGACAAACUUCAAUGCAGAGGGUACCCAGCUGCUCAGUCCUCCCAGGAAAAAGAGGCAGCUGAAGGAAAAUGGCAGUGUUUUGUCCUCUUCCGUUAGGAAGAGUGACGUGGCAGCAGCCAAGAAGGAAAAAGAGGGGGAAACAUAUUUGGAUGCCAGGACACCAAAUUCUGUUCGGAAGAAGAAGAAAAGGCUUCACCAGAAGGAGGAAGACUGCAUGCCACUACUGUCCCCUGUGAACAGCUGCUCUUCACAGCGUGAGGGAGAAGUAUCGGGAGAAGAGUCCUGUGUCAAGAAGAAGAAAAAGAAGAAAAAGAAAAAGAAGCAGAACUUGUCAACAGACUCAGACAAAGGCAGCUAUGCUGAAGAGAGCGAGCAUCGGAAGCACAAGAAGAGGGAGAGCCAGGGGGAUCCGGUGCCUGUGAUGAGCAGCCCCCAAGAAAAACGACACGGGAACGGCAUCCCUUCAGCAAGACUCAGCCCUUCAGUAGCCUUGGCUUGUAGCAGCCAGCUUAGACAUGAGGACAACUGCUCCUUGAACAUCCUGAGUCCAAAGAAGGAGGUGAUUCAACACAAGCAUGGGCAGUCUGAUGUACUCCAGGAGCUGCUGAAGGAUUCUUUGGAUAAGGCGUAUGGAAAGCGAGUGCUGACGUGGGAAGGUGAAGUGUCUGCUGUUAGCCAGGAUGCUAUGCAAGAUACUGCAUGGUCCAGGAGCCAGACAGUCAUGGACGACUGGGAUGAAGAGUUUGACAGUGGGAAGGUAAAGAAAAUUAAGAAGCUCAAACGUGAGCGGAGAAAAAACUUCAAUGCCUUCCAGAAAUUGCAAAGCCGGCGUAACUUCUGGGCUGAGACACAUCCAGCUAAAUUGGCUAGCCUGAGCUACCGGCUCUGAGAUGGUGAGGAACUAGAAGAUAAUCACAUCAAGAGAGAGAGUGGGAAUUGCAACAUUGUGUUCUGGGAGCAGGCAGAUGGAUAAGGACUGCUUUAGAAUAGGGAUCUCAACCCCACAGAUGAGUCCGUGCCUGCAGCCGUGCCGUGGUAGUUCCUGUAUUUGGCACUGCUACUGACCAGCACUGGAAUGCCAAUUAUUGCAGGCUGCCAACUAUUUAUGGAAUUAGCAGGGAAAGUCCUCCUCUUGACCCAAAUGGGACACUGCCAUUUCAGAGGGCUCUCAUUGGGUCUUCUGUGCAUCUUCUAGGGGAAAACAGGAGCAUUGCAAGAAGCCUUUGCCUGGGGAAGGCAUCAUCCCAGCAAGGCAGUGGGGACUUGGUAUAGAGAGCAAGAGUGGGGACAGGAGUGAGUAGCCUCCUGGGAUCAAAGCCACCUUGACCUCCACAAGGCCUUCACCUCCGCACAAGGCCUAGGCUUGAUGAGCUACCCUGCCCCCUGCUGCCGUUCCUUCCAGAAGAUGAAGAAAGCCAAGAUCUGUGUCUUAACUUCUGAGAGGUGGAGCUGUAUUGCAUGAAGUGACAUAUGCCCCUUUCCCUGCUGUCCAGAUAUGUCAUAAUGACAGGGUAACUUUUGUGGCUUUUCUUCAGCCACUUGUGUCCUAACUGUAAUUUCUACCUGUCCAGUGAGCAUAGAAUACUCCUCAACAGAGAAUAUUAUUCCAAAUAAUCCUCCUUGCCCCAUUUCUACACAUUCUGUACAGCAAAAGAAGAACUGGUAGUGGUGCUAGUCUGCUUUGUACAAUUGGGAGUCCAUUUUUAAAAAAAUCAAAGAUAAUAAUUGGGCCCUCAAAAGGUGAAGCUUAGCCAUGCAUUCUCAGUAGCAUCCACUAAGCCACAGUACACGGCGGUGGUGAUGUUUCUAUUGCUGGAGUCUUUAUCACUUUAGACUUGUCAGGUGAGGAAUUGAAUAUUUGAAUGUUCCCACCACAUUUUGAAGGGAGAAAAAGAUCCUGAUACAUGUUAAUCUAGGAGUUCCCACAUUUGCAAACUGAACCUUUCUUACUUGGGUCUGCUAUCAUGCUCAUUGUGCUGCUGUGCUUACUGGACACGUGGCACAAUUUGUUUGAAGUCAUGACUCUUAGAGGAUCUGACAUCACAGCUAAGAUUAUCCAGAUUGUGCCAUCCUUUUCCCUAAUACCUGUCAAGCCAAAAGUGGGGUGGAAAAACUGUUUUAGUACGGCUGGCCUAAAAUGUGUUUUAAUUCCUUUGUAUGUGCUGAAGUCUACCACCUUUUUCUAACCUGGCACCUUCCAGGUCUGUUGGACCACAGUGCCCAUUUUCCUCUGAACAAUGGGUCUUAUAAAUCCAACACAUCUGGAGGGCCCCAACUUGGGAAAAGUUGGGCUUUGAGUUACUUAGGUGGCUGUCUCCUGGGCAGGCUAUCCUUUACCUGUAACUUCCCAAAUGUGCAUGAUCAAUUUGAGGGGUAUCUAUGUACAUCCCACUUAUUCUUGAAACAGCUGCAUUUCAUUCGCGUUGCUUAUUUCAACAUUGGCACCCAUUUUUUGCUGUACACAGUGGGUGCAAAGGUUGAAAACCUGCUUAAUUCCUUCUGCUGUGUAACACAGCUAUGGCCAUUGCAUUUCCCCCCUUGGGGAGGGGGCACGUAAGACUCUUCACUCUCAUCGGAGAGCAUUUUCUCUCCCUCUGGUAGUGCCCGUUCUUCAGUUUCCUGCCAACAUGUAGAGACCCUGAACAUGGGUACACUUUGCACCUCAUGCUGGGGCUUUCUGCAGUAGGCCUCGCUGUAGCAACGAAUCAUGGUGCAAUAAAGGAAUGCUUUGUCUAUG